UAUAUCUCGGGAUUUUAACGAGACCAGUCUAAUACUCGUGAAAAUCGAGAGAGGAGUUUAAAUGGAAAAAAUUUACCUGCGGCUUCCAGAUGAUCUGAAGAUCGGGAAUAUAGAAAAUAUUGUCAAUUUGAUAUUGCUAAUGACCCAGUCAUGUCUGCUGAAGCCCAGAAGUUUCCAGACCAUGACAUUAAUGAAUAUUUCUUGAAUGGAAUGCAUGAGGAUUAGAAUGGAACCUUAUUCUGCCCUUUUACCAACCAUCUUUUCAAGAUUUA